UUUAAGCCUGGGACCAGUCUCCUCAGUUCAAAUCUUUGUCUUCCCAGUGUUCUUGUUGCUUUCAGCAUAGGUAGGGGAGGAGAAGGCGCCCUCAUGAUGCCACUGUCCCUUAUUUUAUAUUCUUACAGCUUCUAGAAAGAUCCUAGCUG